rnacentral:rRNA from 1 species
AGGCCUAACACAUGCAAGUCGAGCGGAAACGAGUUAACUGAACCUUCGGGGAACGUUAACGGCGUCGAGCGGCGGACGGGUGAGUAAUGCCUGGGAAAUUGCCCUGAUGUGGGGGAUAACCAUUGGAAACGAUGGCUAAUACCGCAUAAUAGCUUCGGCUCAAAGAGGGGGACCUUCGGGCCUCUCGCGUCAGGAUAUGCCCAGGUGGGAUUAGCUAGUUGGUGAGGUAAUGGCUCACCAAGGCGACGAUCCCUAGCUGGUCUGAGAGGAUGAUCAGCCACACUGGAACUGAGACACGGUCCAGACUCCUACGGGAGGCAGCAGUGGGGAAUAUUGCACAAUGGGCGCAAGCCUGAUGCAGCCAUGCCGCGUGUAUGAAGAAGGCCUUCGGGUUGUAAAGUACUUUCAGCAGUGAGGAAGGUUCAUUCGUUAAUAGCGUAUGGAUUUGACGUUAGCUGCAGAAGAAGCACCGGCUAACUCCGUGCCAGCAGCCGCGGUAAUACGGAGGGUGCGAGCGUUAAUCGGAAUUACUGGGCGUAAAGCGCAUGCAGGUGGUUUGUUAAGUCAGAUGUGAAAGCCCGGGGCUCAACCUCGGAAUUGCAUUUGAAACUGGCAGACUAGAGUAC